ensembl:snRNA U6 U6 spliceosomal RNA
AUGCUCCCUUCGGAAGCACAUAUACAAAAAUUGGAAUGAUGCAGAGAUUAGUGUGGCCCCUGAGCAAGGAUGACAUACAAAUUCAUGAAGCAUUCCAUAAAAAA